GAUCAUGGCUCAGAACGAACGCUGGCGGCGCGUUUAAGCAUGCAAGUCGAGCGGCAAGGGCCUUCGGGCCCCUAGAGCGGCGGACGGGUGAGUAACACGUGGACAAUCUGCCCCCCGGCCCGGGAUAGCCCAGGGAAACCUGGAUUAAUACCGGAUGAGACGGGACCUGCGAUGGCGGGAUCCGGGAAAGGCGCUACGGCGCCGCCGGGGGAUGAGUCUGCGUCCCAUUAGCUAGACGGCGGGGUAACGGCCCACCGUGGCGACGAUGGGUAGCCGGCCUGAGAGGGUGGACGGCCACAUUGGAACUGAGACACGGUCCAGACUCCUACGGGAGGCAGCAGCUAAGAAUCUUCCGCAAUGGGCGAAAGCCUGACGGAGCCGACGCCGCGUGAACGAAGAAGGCCGUGAGGUUGUAAAGUUCUUUUCGGGAGGGGGAACAACCGUGGCAGGGAAUGGCCGCGGGAUGACGUGAAUCCCGGAAUAAGCCCCGGCUAACUACGUGCCAGCCGCCGC
rnacentral:rRNA from 1 species